rnacentral:rRNA from 1 species
UUCGUAGGCGGAUUAAUAAGUCAGUGGUGAAAUCCUACAGCUUAACUGUAGAACUGCCAUUGAUACUGUUAACCUUGAGUAUAGUUGAGGUAGGCGGAAUGUGUUGUGUAGCGGUGAAAUGCUUAGAUAUAACACAGAACACCGAUUGCGAAGGCAGCUUACUAAACUAUUACUGACGCUGAGGCACGAAAGCGUGGGGAGCGAACAGGAUUAGAUACCCUGGUAGUCC